GUCUAUGGCCAUACCACCCUGAACGUGCCUGAUCUUGUCUGAUCUCGGAAGCUAAGCAGGGUCAGAGACCACCUGGGAAUACGGGGUGCUGUAGGCU
rnacentral:rRNA from 1 species